AAAAAUAACAAUCUUUGCAAACCACAUCCAAGCAACCAAAAGUUAGUUACAUUCUUUGAUUUAUGAUCACCAUCAGCUUUUCAGAUGUGACAAACAUGACUUCAGAUCAAUCCCUAUUUACUUUAAUCGAUCCCGAUCACAAACCCUAGAUAUCAUAAUCCCCAAUUCAAUCAUUCAUCAACAACAAACACUCUCAGUUUCUCUGUUCUUCAAUCAAACCCUAGUUUGCUCUCAUCAAUUUCACAACUGUUGAUUUUGUUCGACAAUCGUACGAUGAGUAUCAAAGAGAAGAAAUCUACAAAGUUAAAACAGCAUCAGAACGGUCACUUAUCUCCGUUCAAAUUUGCCAAAUUGCUCGAUCCGGAAGCUGAUUGGGACAAGGUUUGGUUCUGUUUGUUCAUUGACCUGAAUAAAGCAGCAGCUGAAUUGAGAUUGAACAAGAUCAAUUAGGAGACGUACUUCAUUGGAUUCGGCAAAUAGUGGCCCUUGUAUGCGGGUUACUCUGGGGUGCGUUUCCUUUGGUUGGGGGUAUCUGGAUUGUUGCGUUUUUGCUUAUUUCGUCUGGUAUCAUCUAUGGAUAUUACACGAUCAUCCUCCAGGUUGACGAAGAAGAAUUUGGUGGUCAUGGACUGCUUCUCCAAGAGGGUCUUUUUGCUUCUUUCACCCUCUUUCUGUUGGGCUUGGACCCUAGUAUACAGCUUGGCAUACUUCUGAUGUUUCAAGAUUGUGACACUUGUCGAGUAGUCGGUACUCCCCAUCUUCAAAAUUUGGGGAUUUGUUUACACGACAUGUGAACAAAAUCGCACAAACUAAGUCUGAAGUUUUGCUAUUCCUGUUUUUGAACUUCAAAUUUUUUAUUUCCAUGAUGGUACAAAAGCUGGUCGAUUAAACGAAUAGCCAUUUUUUUAACACAGCAGGAUUUUUUUUUUUU